rnacentral:rRNA from 1 species
AAACCAGCACCUCAAGUGGUCAGGAGGAUUAUUGGGCCUAAAGCAUCCGUAGCCUGUUCUGUAAGUUUCCGGUUAAAUCCAUUAGCUCAACUAAUGGGCCGCCGAAAAUACUGCAGAACUAGGGAGUGGGAGAGGUAGACGGUACUCGGUAGGAAGGGGUAAAAUCCUUUGAUCUAUUGAUGACCACCUGUGGCGAAGGCGGUCUACCAGAACACGUUCGACGGUGAGGGAUGAAAGCUGGGGGAGCAAACCGGAUUAGAAACCCGAGUAGUCC